GACGAACGCUGGCGGCGUGCUUAACACAUGCAAGUCGAACGGAAAGGCCCUGCUUGCAGGGUACUCGAGUGGCGAACGGGUGAGUAACACGUGGGUGAUCUGCCCUGCACUUCGGGAUAAGCUUGGGAAACUGGGUCUAAUACCGGAUAGGAGCCAUCUUUAGUGUGGUGGUUGGAAAGUUUUUUCGGUGUAGGAUGAGCUCGCGGCCUAUCAGCUUGUUGGUGGGGUAAUGGCCUACCAAGGCGGCGACGGGUAGCCGGCCUGUGAGGGUGUACGGCCACAUUGGGACUGAGAUACGGCCCAGACUCCUACGGGGGGCAGCAGUGGGGAAUAUUGCACAAUGGGCGCAAGCCUGAUGCAGCGACGCCGCGUGGGGGAUGAAGGCCUUCGGGUUGUAAACUCCUUUCGCUAGGGACGAAGCGUUGUUGUGACGGUACCUAGAUAAGAAGCACCGGCUAACUACGUG
rnacentral:rRNA from 1 species